rnacentral:rRNA from 1 species
GACGUAGGGGACGAGCGUUGUCCGGAUUCAUUGGGCGUAAAGCGCGCGUAGGCGGCCACGCAAGUCGGGUGUGAAAUCCCGGGGCUCAACCCCGGAACUGCAUUUGAAACUGCCUUGCUCGAGUACUGGAGAGGAGACUGGAAUUUACGGUGUAGCAGUGAAAUGCGUAGAUAUCAAGCGGAACACCAGUGGCGAAGGCGAGUCCCUGGACAACACCUGACACUGAGGCACGAAAGCUAGGGGAGCAAACAGG